CACCGCGGUUAUACGAGAGACCCUAGUUGAUAAAUACGGCGUAAAGAGUGGUUAGAGGACUCCCGUAAUAAAGCCAAAGACCCUCCAGGCCGUCACACGCAUACGAGGGCACGAAGUUCACACACGAAAGUAGCUUUAAACUACCCGACGCCACGAAAGCUAAGAAACAAACUGG
rnacentral:rRNA from 1 species